rnacentral:lncRNA from 1 species
CCACUUUCUUCAUCCCCCUCUAUCAAAAUGAUCAAAAAGGAAGGCGAGCUUGCUUCUUAUUCCCGUGUUUGAUCUCUUCCAUCUCUGCCUGGCUCGUUGUCACCUAUGUUGAAGAAAGGUUUGGAACCCUGUAGAGAAUGAAGAGGGGCCAAGGAUCUUCCUCUCAACAGUGCUUUUCGAGGCUCCACUCUCCCCCCUGAAUAAGUAAGGCCCCGUUAAGCCUGGGC